GACAGAGGUCUCGAGCGUUAGGCGGAAUCACUGGGCUUAAAGCGUGUGUAGGCGGAGUGCUAAGUACCUUGUGAAAUCCCACGGCUUAACCGUGGAACUGCUUGGUAUACUGGUUCUCUUGGGCCAUCUAGGGGCGAGCGGAACAAACGGUGGAGCGGUGAAAUGCGUAGAUAUCGUUUGGAACGCCAAUGGUGAAAACAGCUCGCUGGGGAUGUGCCGACGCUGAGACACGAAAGCCAGGGGAG
rnacentral:rRNA from 1 species